AAAAUGUUAGCAUUUCCAAACAAAAACAAAUUAAGAACAUAUAACCAAGAUAAUAAAUAGUGAGGAUCCAGGCCCUUGGCCUAAAUACUAUUUGUUGCUGCCACGAUCAAAUUGAACUCCAAAAUCUAAAGAAAAUAUUCUCAUUUUUGUCCUGUGUGAAUGCUGCAACCUGUUAUUGUAUGAAUUGGAUUCAUUAUAGUUCAAAAUUCCCAAUUUUGAUCCCUUUGGGACUGCUGCUACUUUGCUACUAAAUUGCUGCCUUGGUAUUUUAACCGAACAAUAUUAACUCCAUUUCGAAACUUUGAAGGAGGUUGACACAAGAAGAGGAGUGUUCCAGGGAUGGGAGUCCAAUUUGGACUCUUCCCGGGCAGCUAAUCGAAUGACAGGCUUAACGGAGACUAUUCCACCACCUCUCUAAACUCAAACAGCCACAAAAAGGUUUUAAA
rnacentral:misc_RNA from 1 species